UGCGUAGGCGGCUUCUUAAGUCUGGUGUGAAAGCCCAGGGCUCAGCUCUGGAAGUGCACUAGAAACUGAGAAGCUUGAGUACCGGAGGGGAGAGUGGAAUUCCUGGUGUAGCGGUGAAAUGCGUAGAUAUCAGGAGGAAUACCGGUGGCGAAAGCGACUCUCUGGACGGUUACUGACGCUGAGGCACGAAAGCGUGGGGAGCAAACA
rnacentral:rRNA from 1 species